rnacentral:miRNA from 1 species
CGGAACAUUGUUGGAACGGGCUGU